rnacentral:rRNA from 1 species
UACGAAGGGGGCUAGCGUUAAUCGGAAUUACUGGGCGUAAAGUGUGCGCAGGCGGCCGCGCAAGUCGAGUGUGAAAGCCCCGAGCUUAACUUGGGAAUUGCGCUCGAAACUACGUGGCUGGAGUGUGGCAGAGGAAGGUGGAAUUCCAGGUGUAGCGGUGAAAUGCGUAGAGAUCUGGAGGAACACCGAUGGCGAAGGCAGCCUUCUGGGGCCAACACUGACGCUCAUGCACGAAAGCGUGGGGAGCGAACAGG